AUUGAACGCUGGCGGCGUGCUUAACACAUGCAAGUCGUGCGAGAAAGGUUCCUUCGGGGACUGAGUAGAGCGGCGCACGGGUGAGUAACGCGUGGGUGACCUACCCAGGAGACCGGGAUAACAGUGGGAAACUGCUGCUAAUACCGGGUACGCUUCAUAUUUCACGUAUGGGGGAAAGGCGGCCUCUGCUUGCAAGCUGCCACUCUUGGAUGGGCCCGCGUCUCAUUAGCUUGUUGGUAGGGUAACGGCCUACCAAGGCGGCGAUGAGUAGCUGGUCUGAGAGGAUGAUCAGCCACACUGGGACUGGAACACGGCCCAGACUCCUACGGGAGGCAGCAGUGGGGAAUAUUGCGCAAUGGGCGAAAGCCUGACGCAGCGACGCCGCGUGAGGGAAGAAGGCCUCGGUCGUAACCUACUGUCAGAGGGAAGAACCAUGGAGUCGACAGGCUCUCGUGCUGACGGUACCGUCCGGACGGAAGCACCGGCUAACUCCGUGCC
rnacentral:rRNA from 1 species